GCCUGGUUAGUACUUGGAUGGGAGACCGCCUGGGAAUAACAGGU
ensembl:rRNA 5S_rRNA 5S ribosomal RNA